CUCCAAUAGCGUAUAUUAAAGUUGUUGCAGUUAAAAAGCUCGUAGUUGAAUUUCGGGAUCAAUAUGUCGGUCGUGCCUUCGGUACGUACUGGUAUCAUUGGUUUCUCCCUUCUGACAAAUCAUGAUGUCAUUAAUUUGGUGUUAUGGGGAGUUAGGACUGUUACUUUGAAAAAAUUAGAGUGUUUAAAGCAGGCAUUAGCUUGAAUACAUUAGCAUGGGAUAAUGAAAUAGGACGUUCGAUCCUAUUUUGUUGGUUUUAGGAUCAACGUAAUGAUUAAUAGGGAUAGUUGGGGGCAUUAGUAUUCAAUUGUCAGAGGUGAAAUUCUUGGAUUUAUUGAAGACUAACUACUGCGAAAGCAUUUGCCAAGGAUGUUUUCAUUAAUCAAGAACGAAAGUUAGGGGAUCGAAGACGAUCAGAUACCGUCGUAGUCUUAACCAUAAACUAUGC
rnacentral:rRNA from 1 species